rnacentral:pre_miRNA from 13 species
ACUGAUGACAUCCAUGCUUUCUGCUGUCCUUCAUUCCACCGGAGUCUGUGACAUAAACCAACCAGAUUUCAGUGGGGUGAAGCACAUGAGACAUGGAACAAA